GACGAACGCUGGCGGCGUGCUUAACACAUGCAAGUCGAACGGAAAGGCCCUGCUUUUGUGGGGUGCUCGAGUGGCGAACGGGUGAGUAACACGUGAGUAACCUGCCCUUGACUUUGGGAUAACGUCAGGAAACUGGGGCUAAUACCGGAUAGGAGCUCCUGCUGCAUGGUGGGGGUUGGAAAGUUUCGGCGGUUGGGGAUGGACUCGCGGCUUAUCAGCUUGUUGGUGGGGUAGUGGCUUACCAAGGCUUUGACGGGUAGCCGGCCUGAGAGGGUGACCGGCCACAUUGGGACUGAGAUACGGCCCAGACUCCUACGGGAGGCAGCAGUGGGGAAUAUUGCACAAUGGGCGGAAGCCUGAUGCAGCAACGCCGCGUGCGGGAUGACGGCCUUCGGGUUGUAAACCGCUUUCGCCUGUGACGAAGCGUGAGUGACGGUAAUGGGUAAAGAAGCACCGGCUAACUACGU
rnacentral:rRNA from 1 species